rnacentral:tRNA from 1 species
GAGGGUGUAGCUCAUAUGGUAGAGGGCUUGUUUUGCAUGUAAGAGGUACGGGGUUCGUUUCCCGCACCUUCA